CUCCUCACCACCCACACCAGGACACUCUGAGGGGAGGCCACAACCACCUUUGCUCUUGUUGAGGAAAGUUUAAAGAAGUUGUCAAGACUGAAUAGGACCUGGCAAAGCUGGGACUCUCAUCCAGAUCCACGGUGACUUGCAGGAUGCUCUCUGCCCACUGGAUGGAAUGUGGAGGAGACCCUUGACCCUGACCUGUGGGGUCUAUAGUGGAAAAGAGCUGACUGGCCAAAGACCAUGUUCAGGCCCCAACGCCCGGAACAUUCUGGAGAUGACAAUGGAAAGCGGACCCUUCCUGAGCUUUUGUCUCUUGAGGCCCGGAUCCAGUUCCCGAGGGACGCCUAAGGCUAGAGCUCUCCGCCUGAGGGGUGAUGGCCCUGGAAUGGCUCGUGGGGAAGAGUAGCAGACAGUGCCCUGGUCCUGGUGGGUUUUCUUAGCACAAAUUGGCAUCCCCUGUCAAGCUUUGGCAUCACUUUGCAAAGUGGCUCAUUUGAGCCCUCCUUGUCCCCUGAAGAUUCUGAAAACAUAUUUACAGUUCAUAUGAGGGGACUGCGGUGCAGAGGGCGGGAGUGACCUCUCUGAGGAAGCCGAGCUGGCCGGUGGCCGAGGCGGGGCUGACAUUUGGUUCUCAGAGUCCAGAGCGUGUGCCCCCACCCCCACUCUGUCUCUCUGAUCCGUCCCUUCUGCUGCUCUACCCUUCCCUCCGGGAGCCCGGAGGCAUCUGACUUAAGCUAGCUCCAAGGGACAUGGGAGAUGCUCUGCUCCAAUAGGGUGCCCCUGGGAACACAGGGCUCUGCCCGCCCCCUCCCCGCCCCCCAGCCUCUCUAGGGUUUCUGGAGC